rnacentral:rRNA from 1 species
CCACCACCAAAGCAUUUGCUGUACCGCGUUGACGGAGCGAAGCGACGUCAAACCGAUAAAACAGCAGUGUAAAGUGAGCCGCAGGGCGCUUUGCGCGACAGCGCAAAGGCAGGCGGUUUCGCGUAGCGAAAGCGAAUGCUUUGGGGUGGGGUGACUGCGUACCUUUUGUAUAAUGGGUCAGCGACUUAUAUUCUGUAGCAAGGUUAACCGAAUAGGGGAGCCGGAGGGAAACCGAGUCUUAAUUGGGCGUUAAGUUGCAGGGUAUAGACCCGAAACCCGGUGAUCUAGCCAUGGGCAGGUUGAAGGUUGGGUAACACUAACUGGAGGACCGAACCGACUAAUGUUGAAAAAUUAGCGGAUGACCUGUGGCUGGGGGUGAAAGGCCAAUCAAACCGGGAGAUAGCUGGUUCUCCCCGAAAGCUAUUUAGGUAGCGCCUCGUGAAUUCAUCUCCGGGGGUAGAGCACUGUUUCGGCUAGGGGGCCAUCCCGGCUUACCAACCCGAUGCAAACUGCGAAUACCGGAGAAUGUUAUCACGGGAGACACACGGCGGGUGCUAACGUCCGUCGUGAAGAGGGAAACAACCCAGACCGCCAGCUAAGGUCCCAAAGUCAUGGUUAAGUGGGAAACGAUGUGGGAAGGCCCAGACAGCCAGGAUGUUGGCUUAGAAGCAGCCAUCAUUUAAAGAAAGCGUAAUAGCUCACUGGUCGAGUCGGCCUGCGCGGAAGAUGUAACGGGGCUAAACCAUGCACCGAAGCUGCGGCAGCGACACUGUGUGUUGUUGGGUAGGGGAGCGUUCUGUAAGCCUGUGAAGGUGUGUCGUGAGGCAUGCUGGAGGUAUCAGAAGUGCGAAUGCUGACAUAAGUAACGAUAAAGCGGGUGAAAAGCCCGCUCGCCGGAAGACCAAGGGUUCCUGUCCAACGUUAAUCGGGGCAGGGUGAGUCGACCCCUAAGGCGAGGCCGAAAGGCGUAGUCGAUGGGAAACGGGUUAAUAUUCCCGUACUUGGUGUUACUGCGAAGGGGGGACGGAGAAGGCUAUGUUGGCCGGGCGACGGUUGUCCCGGUUUAAGCGUGUAGGUGUGUGUUCCAGGUAAAUCCGGUUCACUUUAACACUGAGGCGUGACGACGAGGCACUACGGUGCUGAAGCAACAAAUGCCCUGCUUCCAGGAAAAGCCUCUAAGCAUCAGGUAACAUCAAAUCGUACCCCAAACCGACACAGGUGGUCAGGUAGAGAAUACCAAGGCGCUUGAGAGAACUCGGGUGAAGGAACUAGGCAAAAUGGUGCCGUAACUUCGGGAGAAGGCACGCUGACACGUAGGUGAAGUGAUUUACUCAUGGAGCUGAAGUCAGUCGAAGAUACCAGCUGGCUGCAACUGUUUAUUAAAAACACAGCACUGUGCAAACACGAAAGUGGACGUAUACGGUGUGACGCCUGCCCGGUGCCGGAAGGUUAAUUGAUGGGGUCAGCGCAAGCGAAGCUCCUGAUCGAAGCCCCGGUAAACGGCGGCCGUAACUAUAACGGUCCUAAGGUAGCGAAAUUCCUUGUCGGGUAAGUUCCGACCUGCACGAAUGGCGUAAUGAUGGCCAGGCUGUCUCCACCCGAGACUCAGUGAAAUUGAACUCGCUGUGAAGAUGCAGUGUACCCGCGGCAAGACGGAAAGACCCCGUGAACCUUUACUAUAGCUUGACACUGAACAUUGAGCCUUGAUGUGUAGGAUAGGUGGGAGGCUUUGAAGUGUGGACGCCAGUCUGCAUGGAGCCGACCUUGAAAUACCACCCUUUAAUGUUUGAUGUUCUAACGUGGACCCGUUACCCGGGUUGCGGACAGUGUCUGGUGGGUAGUUUGACUGGGGCGGUCUCCUCCUAAAGAGUAACGGAGGAGCACGAAGGUUGGCUAAUCCUGGUCGGACAUCAGGAGGUUAGUGCAAUGGCAUAAGCCAGCUUGACUGCGAGCGUGACGGCGCGAGCAGGUGCGAAAGCAGGUCAUAGUGAUCCGGUGGUUCUGAAUGGAAGGGCCAUCGCUCAACGGAUAAAAGGUACUCCGGGGAUAACAGGCUGAUACCGCCCAAGAGUUCAUAUCGACGGCGGUGUUUGGCACCUCGAUGUCGGCUCAUCACAUCCUGGGGCUGAAGUAGGUCCCAAGGGUAUGGCUGUUCGCCAUUUAAAGUGGUACGCGAGCUGGGUUUAGAACGUCGUGAGACAGUUCGGUCCCUAUCUGCCGUGGGCGCUGGAGAACUGAGGGGGGCUGCUCCUAGUACGAGAGGACCGGAGUGGACGCAUCACUGGUGUUCGGGUUGUCAUGCCAAUGGCACUGCCCGGUAGCUAAAUGCGGAAGAGAUAAGUGCUGAAAGCAUCUAAGCACGAAACUUGCCCCGAGAUGAGUUCUCCCUGAGACUUAGAGUCUCCUGAAGGAACGUUGAAGACGACGACGUUGAUAGGCCGGGUGUGUAAGCGCAGCGAUGCGUUGAGCUAACCGGUACUAAUGAACCGUGAGGCUUAACCUUACAACGCCGAAG